UACGUAGGGGGCUAGCGUUGUCCGGAAUCAUUGGGCGUAAAGAGCGUGUAGGCGGUCCGGUAAGUCCGUUGUGAAAGUCAGGGGCUCAACCCUUGAAUGCCGGCGGAUACUGUCGGGCUAGAGUCCGGAAGAGGCAAGUGGAAUUCCCGGUGUAGCGGUGAAAUGCGCAGAUAUCGGGGAGGAACACCUAUGGCGAAGGCAGCUUGCUGGGACGGUACUGACGCUGAGACGCGAAAGCGUGGGGAGCAAACGGG
rnacentral:rRNA from 1 species